rnacentral:rRNA from 1 species
GACGAACGCUGGCGGCGUGCUUAACACAUGCAAGUCGAACGGAAAGGCCCUGCUUUUGUGGGGUGCUCGAGUGGCGAACGGGUGAGUAACACGUGAGUAACCUGCCCUUGACUUUGGGAUAACUUCAGGAAACUGGGGCUAAUACCGGAUAGGAGCUCCUGCUGCAUGGUGGGGGUUGGAAAGUUUCGGCGGUUGGGGAUGGACUCGCGGCUUAUCAGCUUGUUGGUGGGGUAGUGGCUUACCAAGGCUUUGACGGGUAGCCGGCCUGAGAGGGUGACCGGCCACAUUGGGACUGAGAUACGGCCCAGACUCCUACGGGAGGCAGCAGUGGGGAAUAUUGCACAAUGGGCGGAAGCCUGAUGCAGCAACGCCGCGUGCGGGAUGACGGCCUUCGGGUUGUAAACCGCUUUCGCCUGUGACGAAGCGUGAGUGACGGUAAUGGGUAAAGAAGCACCGGCUAACUACGUGCCAGCAGCCGCGGUGAUACGUAGGGUGCGAGCGUUGUCCGGAUUUAUUGGGCGUAAAGGGCUCGUAGGUGGUUGAUCGCGUCGGAAGUGUAAUCUUGGGGCUUAACCCUGAGCGUGCUUUCGAUACGGGUUGACUUGAGGAAGGUAGGGGAGAAUGGAAUUCCUGGUGGAGCGGUGGAAUGCGCAGAUAUCAGGAGGGACACCAGUGGCGAAGGCGGUUCUCUGGGCCUUUCCUGACGCUGAGGAGCGAAAGCGUGGGGAGCGAACAGGCUUAGAUACCCUGGUAGUCCACGCUGUAAACGGUGGGUACUAGGUGUGGGGUCCAUUCCACGGGUUCCGUGCCGUAGCUAACGCUUUAAGUACCCCGCCUGGGGAGUACGGCCGCAAGGCUAAAACUCAAAGGAAUUGACGGGGCCCCGCACAAGCGGCGGAGCAUGCGGAUUAAUUCGAUGCAACGCGUAGAACCUUACCUGGGUUUGACAUGGAUCGGGAGCGCUCAGAGAUGGGUGUGCCUCUUUUGGGGUCGGUUCACAGGUGGUGCAUGGCUGUCGUCAGCUCGUGUCGUGAGAUGUUGGGUUAAGUCCCGCAACGAGCGCAACCCUUGUUCACUGUUGCCAGCACGUUAUGGUGGGGACUCAGUGGAGACCGCCGGGGUCAACUCGGAGGAAGGUGGGGAUGACGUCAAGUCAUCAUGCCCCUUAUGUCCAGGGCUUCACGCAUGCUACAAUGGCUGGUACAGAGAGUGGCGAGCCUGUGAGGGUGAGCGAAUCUCGGAAAGCCGGUCUCAGUUCGGAUUGGGGUCUGCAACUCGACCUCAUGAAGUCGGAGUCGCUAGUAAUCGCAGAUCAGCAACGCUGCGGUGAAUACGUUCCCGGG